UAAUGUGAGGACAAUCUGAAUGUGACAUCUGUCACCCCACUGAUCACCAGAGUUGAUUUGGCUGAUCUGGCUAGCUAGAGAAUAUCUUACCCUUCUUCCCCCAACACUUCAUGUGUGUCCCUCUGGAAGCUGCAGCCUCAGUUGAAAAAGACAACCACCCCCAAUAAUGAAGGACUGUUCCUUAGUCAAGUGUGUACAAGUAGCUGCACUCCCCUGCUAGAACCUCCAAACAAGUCCUCAGAAUAGUACUCUUGGCUAAGCACACCCUGGGGGCAGGGCCAGCACAGCACUUUGGGGAUCAAAUCCGUCCUUGUGUCUGCCUAAGCAGGAGCUUUAA
rnacentral:snRNA from 1 species